AGUCGAACGAUGAUGCCCAGCUUGCUGGGCGGAUUAGUGGCGAACGGGUGAGUAACACGCUGAGUAACCUGCCCUUGACUUCGGGAUAACUCCGGGAAACCGGGGCUAAUACCGGAUAUGAGCCGUCCUCGCAUGGGGGUGGUUGGAAAGUUUUUCGGUCAGGGAUGGGCUCGCGGCCUAUCAGCUUGUUGGUGGGGUGAUGGCCUACCAAGGCGACGACGGGUAGCCGGCCUGAGAGGGCGACCGGCCACACUGGGACUGAGACACGGCCCACACUCCUACGGGAGGCAGCAGUGGGGAAUAUUGCACAAUGGGCGAAAGCCUGAUGCAGCGACGCCGCGUGAGGGAUGAAGGCCUUCGGGUUGUAAACCUCUUUCAGCAGGGAAGAAGCGCAAGUGACGGUACCUGCAGAAGAAGCGCCGGCUAACUACGUGCCAGCAGCCGCGGUAAUACGUAGGGCGCAAGCGUUGUCCGGAAUUAUUGGGCGUAAAGAGCUCGUAGGCGGUUUGUCGCGUCUGGUGUGAAAACUCGAGGCUCAACCUCGAGCUUGCAGUCGGGUACGGGCAGACUAGAGUGCGGUAGGGGAGAUUGGAAUUCCUGGUGUAGCGGUGGAAUGCGCAGAUAUCAGGAGGAACACCGAUGGCGAAGGCAGAUCUCUGGGCCGUAACUGACGCUGAGGAGCGAAAGGGUGGGGAGCAAACAGGCUUAGAUACCCUGGUAGUCCACCCCGUAAACGUUGGGAACUAGUUGUGGGGUCCAUUCCACGGAUUCCGUGACGCAGCUAACGCAUUAAGUUCCCCGCCUGGGGAGUACGGCCGCAAGGCUAAAACUCAAAGGAAUUGACGGGGACCCGCACAAGCGGCGGAGCAUGCGGAUUAAUUCGAUGCAACGCGAAGAACCUUACCAAGGCUUGACAUAUAGAGGAAACGUCUGGAAACAGUCGCCCCGCAAGGUCUCUAUACAGGUGGUGCAUGGUUGUCGUCAGCUCGUGUCGUGAGAUGUUGGGUUAAGUCCCGCAACGAGCGCAACCCUCGUUCUAUGUUGCCAGCACGUAAUGGUGGGAACUCAUGGGAUACUGCCGGGGUCAACUCGGAGGAAGGUGGGGAUGACGUCAAAUCAUCAUGCCCCUUAUGUCUUGGGCUUCACGCAUGCUACAAUGGCCGGUACAAAGGGCUGCAAUACCGUGAGGUGGAGCGAAUCCCAAAAAGCCGGUCCCAGUUCGGAUUGAGGUCUGCAACUCGACCUCAUGAAGUCGGAGUCGCUAGUAAUCGCAGAUCAGCAACGCUGCGGUGAAUACGUUCCCGGGUCUUGUACACACCGCCCGUCAAGUCAUGAAAGUCGGUAACACCUGAAGCCGGUGGCCCAACCCUUGUGGAGG
rnacentral:rRNA from 1 species